AGUCGAGGGGCAGCAUGACUAGCAAUAGGUUGAUGGCGACCGGCGCACGGGUGAGUAACACGUAUCCAACCUACCGGUUAUUCCGGGAUAGCCUUUCGAAAGAAAGAUUAAUACCGGAUAGUAUAACGAGAAGGCAUCUUCUUGUUAUUAAAGAAUUUCGAUAACCGAUGGGGAUGCGUUCCAUUAGUUUGUUGGCGGGGUAACGGCCCACCAAGACAUCGAUGGAUAGGGGUUCUGAGAGGAAGGUCCCCCACAUUGGAACUGAGACACGGUCCAAACUCCUACGGGAGGCAGCAGUGAGGAAUAUUGGUCAAUGGACGAGAGUCUGAACCAGCCAAGUAGCGUGAAGGAUGACUGCCCUAUGGGUUGUAAACUUCUUUUAUAUGGGAAUAAAGUGAGCCACGUGUGGCUUUUUGUAUGUACCAUACGAAUAAGGAUCGGCUAACUCCGUGCCAGCAGCCGCGGUAAUACGGAGGAUCCGAGCGUUAUCCGGAUUUAUUGGGUUUAAAGGGAGCGUAGGCGGACUAUUAAGUCAGCUGUGAAAGUUUGCGGCUCAACCGUAAAAUUGCAGUUGAUACUGGUCGUCUUGAGUGCAGUAGAGGUAGGCGGAAUUCGUGGUGUAGCGGUGAAAUGCUUAGAUAUCACGAAGAACUCCGAUUGCGAAGGCAGCUUACUGGACUGUAACUGACGCUGAUGCUCGAAAGUGUCGGGUUUCAAACAGG
rnacentral:rRNA from 1 species